CCUACGGGAGGCAGCAGUGAGGAAUAUUGGUCAAUGGCCGGGAGGCUGAACCAGCCAAGCCGCGUGAGGGAAGACGGCCCUACGGGUUGUAAACCUCUUUUGUCAGGGAGCAAGGUGCAGGUCGGGACCUGCUGCGAGAGUACCUGAAGAAAAAGCAUCGGCUAACUCCGUGCCAGCAGCCGCGGUAAUACGGAGGAUGCGAGCGUUAUCCGGAUUUAUUGGGUUUAAAGGGUGCGCAGGCGGGUGCCAAAGUCAGCGGGAAAAUCGAGGGGCUCAACCCCGCGCCGCCGUUGAAACUGUGUCCCUUGAGUGCGCGAAGGGUAGGCGGAAUGCGUGGUGUAGCGGUGAAAUGCAUAGAUAUCACGCAGAACUCCGAUCGCGAAGGCAGCCUACCGGCGCGCAACUGACGCUGAUGCACGAAAGCGUGGGUAUCGAACAGGAUUAGAUACCCUUGUAGUC
rnacentral:rRNA from 1 species